GGUGGCCUAGUGGUUAGAGCGUUUGCCUCGGACGCGGAAGGUUGCGGAUUCGAACCCCGGCCGAUUCA